ensembl:lncRNA
GAUGUGGAGCCCAUGAUUAAGGAUGUGUAUUUCACAGUUAGUCCGAUGUUAUAAACUAGGCUAUAUAUAGUAAAGUACAGCGUAAUCUUCAGUGCUCCUAAUGAGAUUUUCUCUUUGCUGGCGGAGGUAACGGUGAAGAGUUUGGAUUUUUUUUAUUAUCCAAACGCACCCAUAACAGAUAUGUGCUGAUCAACAUAGAAUAAUACAUAACAUCAUAGGACACGGUGGUGCGCUCUUCUGCUGGGUAAAUCCGCUGAGUAGAUCAGGAUGACGUCAGGUGUAAAGCCCCUCUCCACGGAUGUUUACUCCAGAAAGAUCUAGCUUCUAGCUAACGCCAGGCUACACAGCCCCCUAACUUUCGGGUAGACCGCGGUUUUUGCCACCCUUUGCGGGAGGUGAAUCUUCAAUCUGACACUGAUUUAGACUCAACACGAAGGCAUGUGUUGGUGAUCUCACCAUCACACAUAUAACGUGAGGACAAGCAGCUGUUAGCCUUAUCUAUCGAUCUAUCUCUCCAUCUCCAUCUACCUCUAUCCAUCUCUCUACCCCUCUAGCUAACCUUAUAUCCAUGUAUCCAUGAAUCCAUCCAUCCAUAUGUUUAUCUAUCCAUCUCUCUGUGUCUCUUAUGUAGCUAUAUCUUGCUCUCUUAAACGUUUGCUACUGUAUAACUGCGGCCAACCACAGAGACAGAUUAACCACUUAAGACGCUACAGAUAGACACCAUUGCGUAACGCAUUUGCGUACUGGCGCUGAACUGUGGCAGUGAGCUAUCGAGGGUCAACGUUAUAGUUAGUUAUCCUGCUGGUUAAUCAAUGCACAAAAGCAACUCAAUAGUCUUAAGUGCGACCUUAAAUAUCAAUUGUUUAUAGUUUCUAUAUUUGGUGUCUAGUCUGCCUAGUCUGGUGUUUCUUUUUUUAGUACAAAUGUUACCUUUGACAUUUGCAAUAUAAUCAUAUAUUGGGGCGUUUCUGUUGUGCAAUUUUGGUAAAUUAUUUAAGUUAGAAUGAAACUAUCCUGGUUGGGUUGGAAAUGUGCAUUCAACCUAACCAAAUACAAACUGUAUAACCCUAUACUCUGUAGUAGCCUCCCCCACAUCUUUUAUAAACCCUUGCCUUAGUUUAUAUGAAGGAACAGGAAGCGAUACUUAUAAUUGUAGUG